CAAAAGGCAAAGUGCACUGAAAAUAUCAGAGUUGCUGUUGUGCCAGGAGGUGCCAUCAGCAGGCAUUUUCCUCCAAGCAGAGGGAUGGACAAGAAGGAGAGGGAUAUUACUCGGGAUACUGCUACCAAACCAGAAUCUAGUUCCAGUUCCAUUUUUCACCUGUCUUUUGAUAUCCUGUAUGAAAAACUUCUUUGCAUCACCGCUUCUCUACGAAAAAAUUGCAGAUACCAAUAGAUACCACCUCAAGAUUAUUUGGAGAGUUUCCAGACCUGUCUAGAUCAUUCAGAAUAAAAAUUUUAAAAUGAA